AUAAUCCACACAUAAGGAUUACAGCUCUCAUUCUGGCAAUGAAGAAACAGUCUGAGAACAGAUGAAUCUUUCUUCCAGCUCACAGAACUGGACAAAUGCACGCUCAUUCUGACUGCGGUAGAUGACUGCCCACCGUUGUUACAGUAUUUUAUGGAACAAGUGAGCACAUGAAGCAGAAAGGAGCUGCAUUGCCUGGGAACACUUAUAAUAAAGUUUCCCUCAUCACAGCCUUCUCCAGAAGUCACUGCGUCCCACCCACAGCCACCUCUGUUUCUCAUUGCUUCU
rnacentral:lncRNA from 1 species